CUCCUAAGGCUAAAUACUCUCUAGUGACCGAUAGUGAACCAGUACCGUGAGGGAAAGGUGAAAAGCACCCCGGAAGGGGAGUGAAAUAGAACCUGAAACCGUGUGCUUACAAGUAGUCAGAGCCCGUUAAUGGGUGAUGGCGUGCCUUUUGUAGAAUGAACCGGCGAGUUACGAUUUGAUGCAAGGUUAAGCAGUAAAUGUGGAGCCGUAGCGAAAGCGAGUCUGAAUAGGGCGUUUAGUAUUUGGUCGUAGACCCGAAACCAGGUGAUCUACCCUUGGUCAGGUUGAAGUUCAGGUAACACUGAAUGGAGGACCGAACCGACUUACGUUGAAAAGUGAGCGGAUGAACUGAGGGUAGCGGAGAAAUUCCAAUCGAACCUGGAGAUAGCUGGUUCUCUCCGAAAUAGCUUUAGGGCUAGCCUCAAGUGAUGAUUAUUGGAGGUAGAGCACUGUUUGGACGAGGGGCCCCUCUCGGGUUACCGAAUUCAGACAAACUCCGAAUGCCAAUUAAUUUAACUUGGGAGUCAGAACAUGGGUGAUAAGGUCCGUGUUCGAAAGGGAAACAGCCCAGACCACCAGCUAAGGUCCCAAAAUAUAUGUUAAGUGGAAAAGGAUGUGGCGUUGCCCAGACAACUAGGAUGUUGGCUUAGAAGCAGCCAUCAUUUAAAGAGUGCGUAAUAGCUCACUAGUCGAGUGACACUGCGCCGA
rnacentral:rRNA from 1 species